rnacentral:piRNA from 1 species
UAUCCUUUGGGAUAGGGUCUAGGC